UCCAUUUCUUCCAGGUUUUCCAAUUUAUUGGCAUAUGGUCACAUAUAGUAGUCUGAUAUGAUCCUUUGUAUUUCUGUGAUGUCCAUUGUAACUUCUCCUUUUUCAUUUCUAAUUUUAUUGAUUUGAGUCCUCUCUCCUUUUUUCUUGAUAAGUCUGACUAAGGGUUUAUCAAUUUUGUUGAUCUUUUCAAAGAACCAGCUUUUCGUUUCAUUGAUCUUUUCUAUGGUUUUCUUCAUUUCUAUUUCAUUGAUUUCUGUUCUGAUCUUUAUGAUUUCUUUCCUUCUGUUAACUUUAGGUCUUGCCUGUUCUCUCUUGAGCUGCUUUAGAUGUAAAGUUAGCUUGUUUAUUUGAGCUUUUUCUUGUUUCCUGAUGUGGGUUUGUAUUGCUAUAAACUUCCCUCUUAGAACUGCUUCUGCUGCAUCCCGUAGGUUUUGGAGUGUCAUAUCUUUGUUGUCAUCUGCUUAUAGGUAUUUUUUAAUUUCCUCUUUGAUUUCUUCAGUGAUCCAUUGGUUGUUUAGUAGCAUGUUGUUUAGUCUCCAUCUUUCUCUUCAAGUAGAUAAUUGGUCAUACUCAGGAAUACCCAACCAAAAUUGCAUUAUUUCUGCUACAGGGACAAUACUCAAGUCUGAAGCUGUGAGUCAAAUGAAAUCAAAACAAAAGCAAACAAAAGUCAGAAAAACAUCUCAUUAGAAGUCUGCUGAAAGAACAAAUUUCAAUUCUGUUGUAAGAUUCAUUUGUGGAGAAUAUUUAUAGUCUCUAUUUCUAAAUCCAACUUUAUAAAAGAAAGCAAAUACUCUACUCCCAGUAGUACUUUUUUUAAAUCAGAGACACCUUAUCCUCAGGUAACUUAUAGUUAACGAGCUUCUAUCUCUCAUACUUCAUCUUGUUCAGAGCUCUGGGCAGUCAGUGUUUGGGUUUUGCCUCUUACAUGUUUUCUCCCUGGAAAUCUAAUUGUUGGAAGAAACAUGCAAAGCCAGUACAUUGUACUGUGUAGAGAUUUCAUUAUUGAGCCAUCUUGUGAAGAAUAUUGGAGUCUAUCUUAAAUUUUGUAGAGCUAACACAUAAAUGGAACACAGAGAAUGGAAAAAUGGAGAACAGGUCAGUGACUGGUUUAAAAAUAGCAAGUAUUCCCUCACCUGGUAGCCCUGAACAUUCUAGAGGUGAAGAGAUUGUGUGUUUCUUGUGGGUUAUAAUUGUCUGGGUUAUAAUUCAAGAAUUGUUAGUACUAAAGAGAGCUCAAAAGGUCCAUUUUUGUACUCACUGUGAAUACUUGGUCCUGGGAGGGUAUUCAUAAGCCUGGUUUGGCGAUCGGUUUUUGUGAUUAUCUGUGCUUCAAACCCAAACCAGGGCUCUGAAGGAGAGCUUAUAUGAGGUCACAGAAGGCAGCAGCAGCAGGAUCUGUCCCAGGCACUUGGGGCUCAUUUGUAUGGAUGCACUGAUGCUAUGGGAGCUGCAUACAUCAAAGCUGCUGCAGUCCCUAUCACAGAGCCUCAUGGAAAACGGGAUUGUUCUGCAGCUUUGCUUUCCCAUCAGAGUUCCACUUCAUAAUCUAAUGCCCUUUAACUAGAGAGGAUCUGGGACAAAGAGAGCUAAAUGUACAAAGCAAAGAACAGUUUAAGUACAGCGCUCAGAAAUCAUUGGCAGCUUAGGGUAAGAUAAAGUCCCACAGUGGUAACAAAUCAUAGCAUCUUAGCUCUGGCAGGAACCUUGAAAGGUCAUGCAGAUCAUCUUCAAAACUUAAACCAUUUCAGAUGUAUAAGAACUGAUUCUAUGUUUUAGGACCUCCAGAAGGAAAAUUACACAGCUCGCUUUGAAACAUGUUCUGAUAUAUAGUACCUUUUUCACUGUUUUGUAAGUUCAUUCUUCAGUGAACCCAGGUCAGUCCUAUUGCAGUUAAAAUUAAUUUUUAUCUGUUCAUUCUUUAGUGGAGAUGUGUAAUGACUAGUCAGUAUCCAUUAUGUAAAAGUCCCUUAAGAUCAGCCAUGGUUAAUUUGUACCUCCACUUUCUUUUCAGUAACAAAAAUCUGUUUCCUUACAUGUUUUUCUAUGGCCUGCUUUUUUUUUUUAGCCUCUUACUUAUUAUUGCUUUCAACAUCUCCUCCAAGUUCUCCAUGUCAGUCUUUGGUUAUAAUGUCUGAACUGGAUCCAGUGCUGUAGAAAUAUCUGAUAAGUACUUAAUACAAUGAGAAACUCACCUCAUGAUUCCUAAAUACAGUGUUUUUUGCUUUACACAGUGGUGUGAGACUGUAAAAAUGACUAUGCAGGCUGAGUUUGGAGCAUAGGGGUCUUAAUAAUCAGUGGGAAAAUAAUGGUACAUAAACAUAUGUCAAAAUUUUUAAAGCACUAUUCCUGUUAGUUAUACAUGUAUAGAGAAAUUAAAAACACAGUCAACCUAAUACUAGUAUACCGUGGUGUAGGCCAGCAGCUGCAGUUCCAAUUCAACCCCUAGCCCAGGAACUUCCAUAUGCUGCAGG
rnacentral:lncRNA from 1 species